rfam:Oryza barthii chromosome 12, whole genome shotgun sequence.
AUUAUAGGUAUUGAUUGCUAUUACUUUUGCAGGAGCUAUGACGUCAUUCCUUGUGGCAACCACUGGAAUAUUACAGGGCUGAUCUUCCCCAAGAGUCCACAUCGACGGGAAGGUUUGGCACCUCGAUGUCGGCUCUUCGCCACCUAGAGCUAUAGGUGGUUCCAAUGGCUGGGUUGUUCGUCCACUAAUGUGGUACGUGAGCUGGGUUCAGAACGUCGUGAGACAGUUCGGUCCAUAUCCGGUGUGGGNGUUAGAGCAUUGAGAGGACCUUUCCCUAGUAUGAGAGGACCGGGAAGGACGUACCAGUUAUCGUGCCUACGGUAAACUGGGUAGCCAAGUGCGAAGAGGAUAACUGCUGAAAGCAUAUAAGUAGUAAGCCCACAAGCAUCACUUUCCACAAAUAGUACCCAACGUUUGUCCUAGCUGGGAAAUCUAGAGAGAGCUAUUCUAGAUAGAGGGCUCNGGGGNACGAG